rnacentral:rRNA from 1 species
CCCGUAGGCGGCUUGAUAAGUCGGGUGUGAAAACUCCAGGCUCAACCUGGAGACGCCACCCGAUACUGUCAUGGCUUGAGUCUGGUAGGGGAGUGCGGAAUUCCUGGUGUAGCGGUGAAAUGCGCAGAUAUCAGGAGGAACACCGGUGGCGAAGGCGGCACUCUGGGCCAGUACUGACGCUGAUGGGCGAAAGCGUGGGGAGCAAACAGGAUUAGAUACCCUGGUAGUCCACGCCGUAAACGUUGGGCACUAGGUGUGGGGGGUUAUCAACGCCCUCUGUGCCGUAGCUAACGCAUUAAGUGCCCCGCCUGGGGAGUACGGCCGCAAGGCUAAA